GCGGGAGUUUAUGCCCAAAGGCUCUCCAAAACCCUCAGUUCAGCGAGAGCAAUUAUACUAACAAAGUCGUUCCAUCACAGAGCAUCCUGUUAUGGCGCCAUUGAUGUUUCCUUUCAGAAACUUCUCACUGUUCUUCCUUUCUCUCGAGUGAAUUCAGAUCAACGAUCGCGCGCUGUUGAUCACUUUUUUCGACUCAUGUUGUUGAUGACGAGCCGAUUCUUGUAAGCAUUACUCUUCUCCUUUUCGGAUUGAUUCUUACUCACAUUUCGCAUUUCGUAGUUAUGGAUUUCGAUGAAUAAUUCUCGUGAGGUUCGCGAUUUCAUACAUUCCGCAUCGUACGAUCCGAAUCAUGGAUAUUUCGCUCAGCGGUCACGGUCGGUUAAGUUUUGGAACAGGCAUCAAGUUCAAUCAGCUUGAAGUCUUGGUAUGCCCAUGGGAUUGCUGAAGCAAUCAUGCGUACUGCCAAUCUUUCUAUUCCACUGAAAGAGACGUGGAGGAGGAGGAGCCAUGUUGGGUAAUUAUGCUUGAGGUUCUGGACAAUCUUCCAUUAUCUUAUGUACUCAGAAAAUCAAGUCUCCUCAUGGAUGGAAGUAUGGGUAGAAAAGCAACUUGAUAGGAAAACAGUAUCAGAAUAGAUGGUUAGGACCGAAUGGGGAUGAUCAUUGAGUGGGCUGCAAACGCUGAAGAGCAGUUUGGAAGUUUUCUUUCGUGGCUCUACAUCAUUAGGUAAUGUUCGUAAUUUUUCUCUAUCGACAACAUGUGAGAUUCCAUAGUUGGAGAAGGUAACUUAAAAUUGUAUAAGAGUAUAGAAACUUCUCCCUAGCAUACGCAUUUUAACAUCGUGAAGCGGCCGGCGAUACGUAAUGAGUUAAGUGGACAAUAUCUACUAAAGGUGGGUUUGGACUAUCACAUCAUCAUUGUGGUAAUUAAACAUCAAAACAUUAAUUUUCGGCUGCAGCCAGUCAAGGGAACUUGGA